GCCACAGCAGGAGCUUAUAUUGCCUCCCAGACGGUGAAGAAAGUAAUAGAAAUCAACCCUUACCUUCUGGGCACCGUGGCUGGGGGUGCAGCGGAUUGCAGCUUCUGGG
ensembl:miRNA